UUCCAUUUCACCGAGUGACUCGAGUACUUUCCCCAAAUUGUACCAAGUCUGAUGAGAAUUCGGAUCGAUCUUCGCCGCAUCGCGAAGAGUUUUUUCUGCUAGCCUCUGACUCCCGAGUUUUGAAAUAUCAAGUUUUUGGAAAGAUUCAUCACUUGAACAGGCAAAAGAUUGCUGAUUGAAUGACAACAUGAGUGAAAACUUUGGUGAGAAACUCACGGUGUACAUGAUGUGGUGACUCAUGGGAAAAAUAUUCGUCGCUUCUUGCAAGGAUAAAGUAGCACCCUCGGGUCGAUCCAACGCCAAGAAUACUUCGGCGAGCAAAAGCCAAAUUUGUAAUUGCAAGUGCCAGGCUCUUUGAGGUCCUGGUUUUGGAGUGAACGAGCUCAGCGAUGAAGCAACCUCUGAAAGCGCUUGCUCUAUUCUCGAAGCAGCCAACGAUUGUGCGUGGAGAGAACCUGCGAAUACAAGAAUUCUCACAUGUCAAUUUCGGUGAUUUUUUUAUCGUGAAAAUGACAGUUCUUCAAGUAUCGAAAUAAAAUGGUUAUUUUGAGCGAA